AUUAGAUUAAAAACCAAUGCCCUUCGGGGCUUUUCUGGUGAUUCAUGAUAACUUCUCGAAUCGCAUGCCCUUGCGCCGGCGAUGGUUCAUUCAAAUUUCUUCCCUAUCAACUUUCGAUGUUUGGUAUUGGCCAAACAUGGUUGCAACGGGUAACGGAGGGUUAGGGCUCGACCCCGGAGAAGGAGCCUGAGAAACGGCUACUACAUCCAAGGAAGGCAGCAGGCGCGCAAAUUACCCAAUCCCGACUCGGGGAGGUAGUGACAAUAAAUACUGAUACAGGGUUCUUUCGGAUCUUGUAAUUGGAAUGAGUACAAUUUAAAUCCCUUAACGAGGAACAAUUGGAGGGCAAGUCUGGUGCCAGCAGCCGCGGUAAUUCCAGCUCCAAUAGCGUAUAUUAAAGUUGUUGUGGUUAAAAAGCUCGUAGUUGAACCUUGGGCCUGGCUGGCCGGUCCGCCUCACCGCGUGUACUGGUCCGGCCGGGCCUUUCCCUCUGUGGAACCCUAUGCCCUUCACUGGG
rnacentral:rRNA from 1 species